UACGUAGGGUGCGAGCGUUAAUCGGAAUUACUGGGCGUAAAGCGUGCGCAGGCGGCUUGCCAAGUCAGAUGUGAAAGCCCCGGGCUCAACCCGGGAACUGCGUUUGAAACUGGCAGGCUAGAGUUUGGCAGAGGGGGGGUGGAAUUCCACGUGUAGCAGUGAAAUGCGUAGAGAUGUGGAGGAACACCGAUGGCGAAGGCAGCCCCCUGGGCCAAAACUGACGCUCAGGCACGAAAGCGUGGGGAGCAAACAGG
rnacentral:rRNA from 1 species